rnacentral:lncRNA from 1 species
UUCAAAUAAAUAUUUAAAGACGGCCCAUGUGCAGUGAAAGAGACAAAAAGGAAGAAAACUGCCCCCAUUGUCAAGGGCUUUUAUGGGAGGAAGUCAAACAUAGCCACAUUCAGUCCUAAAAUACUUUGUGUAUGUCCAUAAUAAUUUUGCAGAGUUCUGUAGGAUUUAGGUGAUUUCUGGAGAAUCAUAUGACCAUUUGUAGGGAUCAAGAAAGACACUGACUCCAAAGUACUUUGUGUAUGUUACUAACUUAAGUAAAGCAGAAGAAAAUGUGUUAUUUUAAUAGGUGUGUUACUAGAGAAGAGAUAACUAAAGGCACAGAUACAAAUGUGGAUGGGAGUCAUGGAGUAGUGAAUUACCUUUGGGAGCUGGAGGGUAAGGUGUGAACAGCAGUUUAGUGAAAGGAAAGACUGGAAAAUACAAGUUGGAGAAAGAGUAAGCCAUAAUAGAAAGUUGACACUUUAAUUUUGUAGACAACUGGGGAUUUUUCAGAUGUGUCAUUUCUGGUCUGUUUUAAGAUCUUUCUAAUGCUGAUAAAAAAUGUAAAGUAGAAAUGUAGUCUGAGGAAAUCAAUGAAGAUUGGUAGUUAUACACUUUUAAUUAUGCAAGCAAAAUUUGAAGGAAAUCUGAACUCCAGCACUGUUAUUGGAGUGGAAAGGAUAGACGAAAGAUUUAAGAGACACUUUCAAAAGUAAACCAUCUUGGUGCCCUAUUGACUGUUGGACAUAAAGAAGAAGGUGUUAAGAAUUAUUGCAGGGCUACUGAGGAUAUAGCUCAGUGGUAGAUUGCUUGCCUCCAUGCUCAAGACCCUGGGUUCAACCCCCAGCACCAAAAACAAACAAAACAACAGCAACAAAAAACAUUACUCCAAAUAAUGCUGCCAUCCUAGAAGAAACACAGUUGAAGGCCAAGUUUGCUUGUGUUGGGAGGAAGGUGGUGAUGAGAGGAUGUAGGUAAGAAAAUGGCCAAUCAGUUAAUGUACAUACAGGUGAAAGUAUUCAGCAACUAGUUUGUAAAUGUAAUUAGUACUCAGGCGAGGGAUAAUGGCUGGUAUAAUAUUUUGAGAGAGUCCUCAACAUAAAAACAAUAGAAUAAAUCACAGAAAGAGAUGCAUAUUGAUAUCAUCAUAAGCACUUAGCACUGUGCAUGGCAAACAGUAG